GCAGUCCUACCCCCUAAUUACCUCUUGUUCCCUCCCCAUUCCCACCACCACUGCCUGGGUUCAGCCUACACACAACUGAGCUAAGUAAAUACCAGGCUCUUCAUGAUCUAGCCACAGUCACCUCUUCUUGACCUAUCUCUAGCCCUCUCCACUUUGAUACUAUGAUAUUGAUGUAAACGAAAUCAAAUAUAUUUAUACGAUGUUCUCUAAUUUACGCCUCCCCCUGCUCUUCCCUCACCCCCAGAGUCUAUAGCCUGGAAACCAAGUGCAUUGUCUUCUGAGUCUAUGCCUUUACCGUGCAUAUUCCUCUGCCUCCUGGAAUCCACGACCUGCCAUUUGUCCAUUUAGCAAACUCCAUCCAUCUUCAAAGCUCAGCUCAGAGGUCGCCUUCCCAAAGACUCCCCCAGACAGAGCUCAUCACUCCCCCCCUUCCUGUAACACAUGCAUUUCUCAUAUUAAUUUUCAUUGUCACAGUGUGUGUGAUGCAUUUAUGAGUCUUUCUCCCUUUCUAGACCAGGAAUUCUUUGAGGACUGUGUCUUCUUCACAUCUGAAUCCAGCACCUGAUGCGGAGGAGACACUCAGAAACUUUUUCUUGAAUGAAAUGAAGCCUGUGCUUGCUCCAGAAGGUAUAUAUUUUCUCCCCUGAAGUUAUAAAGUUAAUUUGGACCUGGAAGCACAAUGGCAGUGCAUUCACUUUGAAGUUGAAUGGGCAGAAGUAAGCCGGGGAGGUAGUAGAGGAAUUCCAGGAGUCAAAGCUGGAAGUGGGGUAUGUUUGAAGCCAGACAUAAAAGAUGUGAAAUCCCCAUUGUUUAAUUUCGAUACAGGGCCGGAACAAGAGAAUUUAGAGAAUAUGUGUGGACUAUAUUUCUGCUUGUGGAAAUAGUACAGAAUUCAUUUGUCCACCCAGCAAAUAUGUGUUAACCCUAUACUAUGUGCCAGGCACUGAGCCGGGUCUGGGGAUCCAUUGAUGAGCUAAGGUAGGCAUUCUUCCCAUGGGGAAAUGACCUCCUCUCAUCCUUUUUCCCAUCCCGUGCUGUCGUACGAGUAUCUUUUGUAUCAAUGAACAAUGGUGCCCUGAGAUAGUUAUUUUGUUGAGACCAGUAUAAGGCCAUAUCUUGGGAGUAGGGGGUCCUUCCCUGAAGAAAAUUGACAUUCCCAGUGUUCAUCAUCCACGGGAGCUGCUGAAUCCCGAGUCAGAGGAGGAUUUGGAAGGAGCACCUUGGCUAGAAAGUGAGGGAAUUCCUUUCUUCCCGUGAACCCAUGAACAUGGUGGCCAGAAAGCCUGGUGGGAGGUCAGCCUAUGGCAGACUCUCUCAGAAGCCUGUUGAAGAAAGUCUGUGUGAAAGGCCCUCUCCUGGACCUUUAUUUAUUUAUUUAUUUAUUUUUUCUCCUGGACCUUUAAUGCAGUCUUGAUGGACCUGCCUGGUCUCAGCUGGGCUAUGAUGAACUAGAGGAAGGGUCUGUGUCCAGACCAAGGCCAGGGCUGUCACCUGGAGAGUCACGCGCUCUCUCUAUAAGCAGCAUGGGCCUCACAGGGGCCAUUAGUCAGGUCUCUGAGAGCAGCUCGGUGUCCAGGGCUAGAUGUCCAGCCUCCCUUCCCCACAUGAGAAAUCUCCUUCCAUGGUUGUUACUGCUCUGCAUGUGAUGGAGCCAGCUGCCUUCCUUCAGAUCCCUUCCUGUUACUUCGGAUCUAAGUGUUAGUUAUAAGAACGCUGUAUUUAGUUUAGGUUGUAUCUAAAGGCUAUAGAAAGUUUACCCUCCGAACAGCCAACAGGGAGUCUUAAGGCCAUGUUCAUGACUGCCUGACAGGCAAAAAUAAUACACAAGUGAUGUGUGAGAGAUCGGUGCUCUUAAAAGCCUAAAGCUAGUUGCUUUCAAAAGUCAGUUAUUAUGUGAGGAGCCAGGGGAUCACAGGCGAGAAUACUCACCCCAAUGGAACGGUCCUUUGAAGUUAAAACUUUCAACUUGGCUGAGUAUGACAUCCCAUAACCACCCAGUGAAUUUCAUUAUCGCCAAAGCAUUGAGGCUGGCCCUGAAGCUCCUCUCCCACCUCGCAGGUGUGCAGACCUGGCCUCUGGCUGCCAGGCUUGGUGCCCAGGUGAGAGCAGAGAGCAGGGGAGAGAGGGCACCGCCUCCUUUCUUUGUGGUUUGUACCUGUGCGUGUAACAGCCCCAUUACCAGUGGUGUCCCAGACAAAGGUUAUGUUCUUGGUUAAGAUGAUAAAGUUUCGAAGUUAAAGCUUAUUCAGUAUGUUGACUUCUCCUUCCCGCGCUAUUAUGUAACUUUCUAUUUACCGAAUGAUCAAUCACUGUUUGUACUGUUUGAGAUCUCUUUCAAAUUCUCAGAGCCAGCUUUUUUCUCCCUCCAGUGUAAACUAAAGGUCAGGCACAUAUUAAAAAAACCUCAGAAACUGCAGUGCAUUUAUUACUAAGGGACAGGACGAGAACCCUCCUUUCCUUCAGAGAAAAAAAAAAAAAAAAAAAAAAACCACCACUA